GCUAUUGGCAGCCAACAUUGCGCACCGCAACGGCAACAGGACAAGUAAUCGAAAGUGAUUGCAAAGCAUUUAUACAAACUUUCACUCGCAAGUUAGUUUAACACACGGCUGGUGGUACGUGCUAAGGAGGCAAAGUGGCAGUGCGAAAAAUCGAAAAAACAUUGAAAAUAGCAAUUAAUAACAAUUUGUGAAUUUUAGUUAAAAAUCGGCAAGGAAAGUAGUUACACAGCAGUUACAAUCAUGUUGCUUAAGGCAAGCCAAAAUGGGCCACAAAUUGCCUGUCUUCUGCUAUUUGUUUUAGUUUCGCUUUGUGAUGGCUUGCAGUUAGGCGCUUUUACCACCAAAACGCCCAGGGUUACCAAGUACACGACGAAGCCAGCGUCGUCCUCUUCAAUGAAUCAUGAUGCGACAACCUCGAUUUAUCGUCUCAAUGCCACAAAUGGCAUCACCUGCAUUUUGGUUAGUGUGGAUGGCCUCAUCAGUAUUAAAUAUCGUAAUAAAUUGAAUGAAGAUGUUGAGGCGGAUCUCUAUCUGCCCGAUGAUCCAAAGCUCACGGGCGAAUGUGUGGAAUCCAAUAUGGAAAUAUUGAGAUUAGAUUUUAAAGGAUUCGCCUUGACAAUGACAUUCCGCAAGUCAUCUGGUGGCGAAGGCUGGUACAUCAAUCAAUUCGAACUCACUUAUUCCUCAUCGAAUUCGCUAUUCGAACAUCCCGAUCGCCCAAAUCUCGAUGUGAAACUUACUUCACCGGCACACACGCCAAUGUACUUCCCAACACCCGUCGGCAAAUCAUACGUUUGUGAUAAGGAGCAAAGCGUCGUCUUGUAUGCACCUAUAGAUUCUGGCGACAUGUCGGGACACAUUGCACGCCUCUAUCUGCGCGAUCUGCACAUGCAAAGUUUCAUGUUUAAGGAGAGCGGCAAGUGGGGCCCACCGUUCCAUUGCAGCGCUACGGGUUCAUAUCGCGACGAGACGGCACCACUAGCGGUGGGCACCGCCUUGGCGAUAGCGGUACUCAUAACAAUAUCCGGCUACGGUGGUUGGCGCUACUUCAAAAUCAAGAAAGUGCAAUAUGGUUCUAUGGAGUAAGCACGAUUUGGACGGAAAAAUGUUACUUGCUUACAAUGCGCUCGUUGGCUUAGUGAAUACGUGAAAGUUAAUUCGGUUCUUUUCAACAUGCAGCCUUACAAAAAUUAAGAAACAUAAAGUAAAAUGUUUCGCUGGUGAAAAAACGCUGUACAUAUCUGGUUAUUAUGCGUUAUAUAACUGUAAAAUAUGUAAUUUUCAAUUUGUUAUGUCUAAGGAAAUUUAUGCGUGUAUACAAAUACCAAAACGGAAAGGCAAUGGCGCAUGUCAUGUAGCAAUUUAUUUAAAUGAUGAGUUAAGCAUCCACCCACUCUAGCCGGCAAAAACUGGCCCAUCCUAGUAAGACACAGCUUAUAUACCACAGCCGAUGACACCAUAACACAUACAUUACCACACAACACAACUCACCACACUUCUACAUCAACCCACUAAACAUAAAGGAUGCUCCGCUGAGCAGGUUCAACAAUUCGAUCUAUACAAGCCGGGCAUAAACAUUCGUUUACACACUGCGUCGCGUCGUCGCCUUUCGCCAACACAAUUCGAUCUAAACAAGUCAACAAGUCAAUCCGCUACCAAAAUUCGAUUCCCAACUGCGCCGCGUAAACAUUAAAGUUUUUAAUACAUUCCGUUCUGCACUGCGGCGCAGUCAAAAGUUCCCACGCGCUAGAAACAACUUCGGGUCAACCCAAUUCCUGCGAGCAGCGUCUUAUUUUCAACCCAACAACAUUUAUCGCUGCGUUUAAUUAAAUAUAUCUUUAUGUACAUACAUAUUUAAUAUUUAUUGUGCUUUAAUUAUAAUAAAAUUAAAGUAAUUGUGCACCAAAUUACCCGAGUAUUUUUAAUAAUCGCGGGUGUAAGUAAGGAACCUCAAAUUGAGUGGUUUAAACAAAGUUUUUU